rnacentral:rRNA from 1 species
AUUGAACGCUGGCGGCAGGCCUAACACAUGCAAGUCGAGCGGAUGAGGGGAGCUUGCUCCUGGAUUCAGCGGCGGACGGGUGAGUAAUGCCUAGGAAUCUGCCUGGUAGUGGGGGAUAACGUCCGGAAACGGGCGCUAAUACCGCAUACGUCCUGAGGGAGAAAGUGGGGGAUCUUCGGACCUCACGCUAUCAGAUGAGCCUAGGUCGGAUUAGCUAGUUGGUGGGGUAAAGGCCUACCAAGGCGACGACCCGUAACUGGUCUGAGAGGAUGAUCAGUCACACUGGAACUGAGACACGGUCCAGACUCCUACGGGAGGCAGCAGUGGGGAAUAUUGGACAAUGGGCGAAAGCCUGAUCCAGCCAUGCCGCGUGUGUGAAGAAGGUCUUCGGAUUGUAAAGCACUUUAAGUUGGGAGGAAGGGCAGUAAGUUAAUACCUUGCUGUUUUGACGUUACCAACAGAAUAAGCACCGGCUAACUUCGUG